UUGUCUCAGUUCGGAUUGUAGGCUGAAACUCGCCUACAUGAAGCUGGAGUUGCUAGUAAUCGCGAAUCAGCAUGUCGCGGUGAAUACGUUCCCGGGCCUUGUACACACCGCCCGUCACACCAUGAGAGUUGGCAAUACCCAACGUACGUGAUCUAACCCGCAAGGGAGGAAGCGUCCUAAGGUAGGGUCAGCGAGUUGGGGUAAAGUCGUAACAAGGUACC
rnacentral:rRNA from 1 species